UUUCCAGUGCUGGUGGUCCUGGCAGGCCUCACCUCCCUAAGUGACUUCCUUCACCCUCCUUGCACGUCUGUAGAUAUUGCAUCUCUCUCCACCCUGCUGGGAUACGGGCAGAUUGUGUGCAAGCACAGGGGGAAAUGGGAAGCCUUAGUUUCUCCAUCUGUGAAAUGAACGAAUCGGACCUUUCUGAAAUGAAGCAUUCAGAGGAGGAUCCCGGAGAGGAAGGCCAGAGCCAGUCGCUCUGCGGAAUGCAGUCUGUGCACUCUGCCGCCUGCUUCUCAGGAUGCCGUUGGAGGAGGCGACAAAGAGAGGUGGGGGAUUCCAGCCAUUGGCACCUUCGCCCUCACCCUCGCUCGAAGCACACGUGACCAUAUGGUGGAGACUAGACCAGGUCCAGGAAACCGGAUCGCUAGCAGUCUCUGGAAAAGACUCCCUGCACGCCUGCUUGGUGCCAGGCUCUGUCCUGGGGAAUGGAGUAACGCAAGCCUGGCACUGACGUCGACGGGCUCGAACACUCGAUCGGCGUAGCCACAGUACAGAACGGCGAAGGCUGCGAGGACGGUGCCAACUGGAAGCCAGAACAACGGACUCUGUGGGCAGCAGGAGGGUGUAGGAGCAGCUUAGGAGCCAUGGAAGUUUGAGAUAAGCUCGAAGAACAUGCAGGAGGAUACCUGGAAGAACAAACUGGAAGACAACUUCUAGCAGGGGAAGCGGCGCGCUUGAGUAAUGGAUGGAAAACAAGAACCCAGACUCUACGAGGCUUUGAGAGAGGCACGAGCAGCAGUGCACACAAUCUUUAGUGCAGGGACUUUCUGGCAGCUAAUGUGGGGACUCAGGGGACCCUUUUGAUGAGUUCAGGAUCAAAAGGUCCUGAAUGAGUCAGAUUGCUGGGAAAUGGACCUGGGGAUAAAUGGGGUCUUAUUGUGGUCUGGCAUGUUGGUUAUUUGAAAGGACCUUGGCCAUGACUGUGGCAAAGAGCAAUUUUCCUAAGGCAGCAAACACAAUGGUGCUUCUAAAAUCAAUUAACACGGGCCAGUGGCAAGAAGAAAAUAGCCUAAGAGAAUACUUUAUGAUAUUCUAGGAUGUCGGAGUUGGAAGGUCUCUUGGAACUGAU